UUACUCACAUUCUGAAGUCACUGACACCUAUUAGUCCAUCCUGUCCUGGAGGAAAGACUGCUUUGCAAGCUCUGCCUGUGCCUUUCUGUGGGAAGCCAGACGAUCAACGGGUGUCAUUGUUGGCUCCACAAGAGAGGUCAUUUUGCUUGUUGCAGGAUGAAGACAGUAAAAUCUGGUACUCAAGUUGGCUCAGUUCACUGUAUAUAUAAUGAGUUUCUGCACUAAGGAUAGAAAGCACAAAGAGCAGUUAGUAGGUGGUGCCAGCGGAUGUCUGUGGAGACUGGGAUAGAAUGGCUGAGCGUGUGGGUGCGCAGCUGGGAGCAGCCAUGGCAGUAAGGUAAGUAGAAGAUAGGCACUGGGAAGCAUUAAAGGUUAAUUUUUAAAAGAGGAUGUGUCAUGACUCAUGCAGUUACAGAAUGAACAUGGGUCAAAGAUUUUAUUUAACGCUAAUUAAUGAG
rnacentral:lncRNA from 1 species